AUUUUCUGCCAUAAAUCACUCCAUUUUACCACCCAUGCCGUGCACAUUCAUCCAUGUUCCCUCUUUGCACUCAAUUGCUGCACCAUUCCACUUCCUUUCCUUUGUCUACCAUGUGCACAAUAUCCUUUCACCUCCUUGCACUCAUUUAUUCACCACUUACUCACCUUUCCACCCAUGCCAUGCAUAAUCACCCUUGUCCCCUUCAUGCACCAAAUUUCUUGCACUCAUUUCAUGCACCAUUACACUCAUUAUCCCUUCUUGCCAUGCACCACCCUUGUCUCCUUCAUUAUUUCUGAUUUCAUGCACCAAAACAUUGAAUCAUUGCACUCAAUUGCUGCACAUUCCUUGUCCCCUUCACCCAUCAGAUUUCAUACAACUUUUACCUCCACUACAUGCACUCAUUGAUGCACCAUCCACCACCUUUGGAAUCCCAUGCCGUGCAUCAUGACUCAACCUGCACCUUUGACUUAUUUCUGCAUCAUUCCACCUCCUUUUCCUUUCUCUACCAUGUGUGAUGAGUAGAUUUUAUAUUAUAUAUUUUACCCUAAUCUUAAUAUAUUUUGGUUAAUAUAUUGGAAGAAUUUUGAUACUUUGAAUUGUAUUUUCAAUAUAGGACUUUCGACUUCCUCUGGAGAAAAAACAGGACCAAAUGGACGAAUUUUUGAGUAAUUCCAAUUGGAGGACGUUCGUGAGUCACUUAGCUUGAUCAUAUCAAAAUUUGGGAUUUUUUCACCAAGCGGUUAGUUUCUGGUGAUGAAAUAAAGAAGUAGUGCGCAGUGCUGGAAAAUGACGUUUUUUUGGCUUAAAUGACGUUUUUGGAGCCCAAGAUGACAUCGGAUGGGUUCGUGGCCUUCUGGAAAAGUGUUCAGAAUAUUCCAAACAUCAAAUCCAGCUAUAUUGGGCCAGUUUUGGACAGCUUAUGGGCCAAAACGUGGCUGUUCAGAUUUUAGACGAAUUUUACUAUUUUUAUUUAAGGUUUUUAUUAAUUUUAGUUUGCGAGGGUUUGUGUGGUGGCUUAGAAAAUAUAUUGCUUGGCCGUCUACAAUUUUGGACCACGCUUUAUUUUAUGCAAUAUUGGAGACAGAGAGAAGUGCUAGGGUUUUGAAGAUUUUCUACUUGAAGGUGUUUUCAAUCCUUUUCUUAAGAGAUAUUUCUAUGAUUUCAAUUAUGAAUAUGCGGAACUAAUUUCUUUUGCUAGGGCGAAGCCUUGAGCCUUAGCAUGAAUAUGUGAUUUUUAUUUAAUUGCUUAUGAUCGAUUGCAUGCGUACUUUGAAUUGUUAAUUACCGGGAUAAAAACUAUCUAAUUGUCGUAAUGCCUGAUCACCAUUAGGAUAUUUAGAAAAGUAAUUUGAUGCAAUUUUGGUUGGAAGGUUCCCUGAAAUUGACACUGGCUUCUUGUGAUUAAUAAUUGUAAUUUCUCUUAGGAUGAAUAUCACGUCUUAAGGAUUGCAUGGUUUUUCAAAGGAUUUUCAUAAAGCAUAAUGAGUCUUUCAUGUUUAGAUUUGAUCCGAACGUCCGGACGGAUUGCAUGUUAGAUAUACGUUCUAUGUUGGAGGUUCCAAGUAGAAUAUGAAUUAGGAAAAUCUAACCUUCAAAGUGGCAUGUAUAGAUCAUAAGUAAUUGGUAAAAAUUCAUAGGAUUGCUAGGUGAUGGUGGAACCCUAGUGCUUUCUUAAUUUUAUUCUCCCAAAACUGUUUUCUUUCUCUCUAGCUCUAAUAUUGCAGAUUGUUUAUUUUAAUUCAUUAAUUUCGUUUUUAUUUUAAUUAGGUUUUAAAAUCAAUCACUUCAAUUUCUACUUUACAAUAAUUAAAUGGAAUCUGAUUAGUUUGAAUUAUUUAAUAAUCCCUGUGGAGAUGACCUUGCGAAAUCCGUUUAUACUACAACAACCUUGUUAUUCUUGCAAGUAAAAUAGGAGAUUUAAGCCCGUUCACAUGAGUAGUAAAAAUCCCUAUCAAUGUGCACAAUCAUUCAUGUUCCCCACUUGCAUUCAUAGCUGCAACACCACUCCAUUUUACCCUCCAUGCUUUGCAUCAUCACUUCACUUUCACCUUUGAAUCAUUUCAACACCACUCCAUGCACUUAUUGCUGCAACACCACUCCAUUUUACCCCCCAUACUUUGCAUCAUUACUUCAUUUUCACCCUUGAAUCAUUGCACACACCACUAUUUUCCCCUCCUUGCCGUUCACUUCCUCUAUAAAAGGAAGUGUGUUGCAGCCAUAUAGUUUAGUUUUGCUAGAUUAUUCAUCCCCAUUUCAAUACAACCUUCAUCCAAACACAUCCAUUCAUCUUUACAUCCAUUCCUCCAUACAAACAAACCUUCAAACACUCACCAACACCUUGUUGAUAGGAGCAUAUUUAUGCGACUUAGUUGGCUUGUUCUUAUGCAUUUAUGUCGUGUUUCCUUAGUUAUUUUAAUGUUUAAAGUCAUUUUCGUGUGUUUUCAGA
rnacentral:lncRNA from 1 species